GUGUGUGUGUUCGUGCACAGAUACAUUGGCCUCUCUCCUCCUGCACUUGACUUUCCUAUAAUGAUGCACUUGCAACUGGACCCCUGGUUCUCAUUCUGACUUUUCUCUAAAUGGGUCUCCUCUUUGCUGUCUGCCCAAAGGUUUCCAUCAUCCCAAUAAGCCACGCCCAGAGCCCAGCGCCCUACCCUUCCCCCUGGCUGUCUGACUUGGUCCCUUUUAACUGUCGGCAGGCACACCCGGCUCACCCACUUCUAGCUUCUGCUCUGUUGCACACACUGUUCUCUCCUUUCUUUUUCUCAACUUUUUCCAAGCCUCACACCCCUGCCCUCUCUAAGAUAUGAUUCUCCUUAAUGGCAGUGAGGUUUGGAUAUUGACUCCUUGCCCGUCUUGAUCUCUUGUACCUUUUUUUCUUCUUUUCUUCUUAUUAUGGAGGAAGAACUGUUCCUCUCUUGGUCCCAAGGAAUAACUUCCUCUUGCCUCUUCUGUUCCUCAAUGAUCUUCUCUCUUCAGCACCAUCAAUAUUCCUUUUCUCACAGAUUUCUUCCCACUGGUUUCCAAGCACAAUCCAACUGACUCAACUCUACCAUUCACUCUCACACCUCCCUUGCUCCUCCACCCUUCAACUUGUCAGACAGGAUCUCUGCCUCUGCUUCUCUUGUUUCCUCUAAUCCAUGAUAUCAGGGCUUUGCUCCGUCUUCCUUUUGCUUGAACUUUUGGUGUCCUUUUAAAUCCUGCUGCCAACAAUUUUUAAUCACUGUCUUCCCUUAACUUCCAAGGCAUCAUCCCAUUUCCCCUCCUACCUCUAGGACUACCUUCUUCCUUUCUCAGGACAUUCUGUCUCCUUUUGCCUAGAAGUGUGGAUUUUCAGCAACUUCUGUUUCUGGAUCUUUGUUCUUUUUCCUUCACUUGUUGCUUUGAAGAUCUCAUCCAUUCCAAACAUUUCAAGUCUUGUUGGUAGUUGCUGUCAAGUUGCCUCCGACCCGUGGUGACCUUAUACGUAACAGAAUGAAACAUAGCCCUGUCCUGCACCAUCUUCAUGAUCUUUUUAUACAUCUGAACCUGUUGUUGCAGCAAUUGUGUCAAGCCAUCUCACUGAGGGUUUCCCUCAUUCUUGCUGACCUUCUACUUUACCAAACAAUGGAGACAUUACAGUGCUAUAAACUUCCCUCUAUGUACUGCUUUAGCUGCAUCCCGCAAAUUCUGAUAUUUUCUAUUUUCAUUCUUAUUUAUUUCAGAAUACUUUCUAAUUUCCCCCUUUGACUUCUUUUUUGACACAUGGCUAAUUUAGAGGUGUACAUUGAGUUUCCAGAUAUUUGGAGAUUUUCCAGUUAUUCAUUUCUAAUUUAAUUCCCCUGUGGAAAGAGAACAUAAUUUGUACUACUUAACUCUUUUGAAAGGAGCCCAGGUGGUGCCAUGUUAAGUGCUUGCUUGCUAACCAAAAGGUCAGUGUUCACACCCACCAGCCACUCUGCAGGGGAAAGAUGUGGCAAGAGAAAGACACGGUAAGAGUAAGAGGCGGCUGCCUGCUUCUACGAAGAUUACAGCCUUGGUAAGUCUAUGCACAGUUCUACUCUGUCAUAUAGGGUCAUUGUGAGUUGGGAUCGACUCGAUGGCAAUGGGUUUCAUUUUUGAGUUUGGAAAAUCUUCUAAAAUAUGUUAAGACUAGUUUUAUAACGCAGAAUGUGGUCUGUCUUGGUGCCUGUAUAUCCUGCUGUUGCUGAAAGGAGUGUUCUAUAAAUUUCAAUUAGGUCAAAUUGGUAGAUAGCAUUGUUCACAUAGUCUAUAUUUGUAUGGAUUAUCUGUCUACUUGUUACAUUAAUUAUCGAGCAUGAGGUGUUGGAAUCUCCCACUAUGAUUGUGAAUAUGUCUAUUUCUUCUUGCAGCUCUAUAGGGUUUUGUUUUAUACAUUUUGAAGCUCUGUUAUUAGAUGUAAAAUGUUAUGUCUGCUCGAUAAAUGGAAUCAACUCAAUGGCAACUGGUUUUUUUUCUUUGUCAUUAUAAAAUAACCCUCUUUAUACUUAGUAAUAUUCUUUGCUCUGAAACUUUGUCUGAUUUCCAGCUUUCAUAUAAUUAGUGCCAAAAACCAAAAACCAAACCCAUUGCUGUUGAGCCAAUUCUGACUCACAGUGUCCCUACAGGACAGAGUGGAAGUGCCCCAUAGGGUUUCCAAGGAGCGGCUGGUGGAUUUGAACUGCUGAUCCUUUGGUUAGCAGCUGAGGUCUUAACCACUUCGCCACCAGGGCUCCACAUAGGCUUAUAUGUCUCUUCUCUCUGCUCUGCAGUGCCAUCUCUAGGGGAAGGAGAUGCACUGCCUGCUAAGCUUGGCGAGGUCCCUGAGCCAACACUGCUGAUGGGCGGCUGCCAGUCAGAUGUCAGAUGACGACGUGGCUCCAUUAAGAGCAAGAACAACUCUCUCCUCCCAGUAGUGCUGUCACCCUCGGCACACCCUCCCUGCACCCCUGUAGGACUGACCCAAUAGAAAUUCCAGGAGCAAAGAGGAGGGAGGGGAGAGCCAGAAAGAAAGGGAGAAAAUGCACUGUGCGUGUGUAUGUGAAUGUGUAGUGCGCCUGGGCUCACUCCUUGCACCUGACGUGCGUCGAUGUUAUAGCGAGUCCUAUGAACAAAUCUGCAAAAACCGAGAUUGAGCAACUGCAGACCGUCACUGGCCUCUUCGCUGGUUAUAGCGACUUCUCACCGCACGUGCUGAGCGCUCACUGAGUGCACAUUCGACACUUGGUUUAUCAUCUCGUAAGUGAACAUUAUGAGAGAAUAAAUGUAGGAAAGCAAAUCGGACACACUCACAAACGCAGUGCCUGCAAAUGCAAACCCCAAAACUGCUGCAGCCAAAACUCUGUCCACAGCGUCAGCUCUGCGUGACGUCACUGAAGCAUCAGCAGCAACACCAGACACACUGCGUCACCAGGUCCUGCAGGAACGGGAAGGGUCAGAGUGCCCCGCUCGCCCCAGGCUCCCUCUCCUGGUAGACCACGCCUCCUGGCGCUCGGAGACACACAAACCACUGCAUGUCGCACCUGCAUCACGCAGUCGUUUUGAAAAUGAAUCCUCAGAAGACAUCGUGGCGGAGGCAGAGCAGAGGAGGUUGGGGGUGGUUGGUGCUGGCUGUUCUCCUGGUGCCUGGGGGUCCUGCAUCUCCUUAGGACAGAAUGACGUCAUCUCACCGCCUAGCAGAUCCCUCCGCAGUUGUUAAGAACGGUGGCUGGCAGUGCAUGCCUGGCCUCGGCCUCCCUCCCCCACCCCCCAUCCCAUUGUCCAUCUUGCAGUCUCUGCUGAAGGUCCGGCUCCCCUGGAACUCAGACAGUGACACUGUAGGGUGUCUGUGGUAGCCAGGCGAAACGCCCCUUUUAGCCUUUUAAUUCUUUUACUUGUGUGAAGUAGGAGCCCUGGUGGCACAGUGGUUAAGUGCUUGGCUGCUAACCAAAAGGCCAGCAGUUCAAAUCCACCAGCAGGUCCUUGGAAACCCUGUGGGGCAGUUUUAACUCUGUCUUAUACAGUCACUGUGAGUCAGAAUAGACUGGUGGCAAUGAGUUUGUGAGGUAAGUAUUAUAAUCCUUCUUUUAAUUUUACAGAUGAGGAAACCGAGGGUCGCAGAAGCCAGCAAAGCAGAGCUAUGAUUAGAGCGCAGACCAAUUCCCUGCCUCCCUCUCCUCUGCCUCCCUCUGGUGAGGCGGAGCAGGCGUGGGCUGCAGAGUGACUGGGACCUGUAAGCAGGGGGUCCUGUGGCCCAUGACCCAAGUCUGCCCGCUGGGGACCAGAGGACGAUGGAGGCUCAGUUGGCCAGGCUUGUCUGAUGCCUUCAUGACUCACCUCUCUGGGCUCUGCUCUGCGUCACCCUUCUGCUCCCAGAGGGAGGCCUGAGCCAGCUCCUAGCUUCAGAGACCCAAUCCCUCUCAUCACCGCCAGGACCAGCUCUCCCAUGUCUGCAGAGGCUCCUGGUGGCCUCUCGGGGGCCCCAGAGAGCAGUCUCCUGUUCACAGGUGAAGUUUCCACUCUGGGACACCAGCACAGCGCAAUCGCAGGAGAGAUGAUGCCGCUGGCGGGGCUGUCCCCAGGGCGAGGGUGAGUCACUGCACUCAGACAGACCUGCCUCAACCCCAGCUCCAGGGACCCGCUCCCCUCGCUCUGGGCUCUGGGCAUCGGAUCUCCCGGAGGGAAGGGCCGGCCACCUGGGGGACGAGGGGAGCUGACUCUAAGGCCACCCUCAACUAUGUCCUGCUCCGUCCUUGCCCUUCUGCUGGGAACUUUCUUAGACGUCGGCGCGCAGACCAUUCUCCAGUGGCCGGUCGUCGAGGUGCGGCAGGUGGGCAGCUCUCUGUCCCUGCAAUGCACCGUGACGGGGACCUCGAACCCCACCCUGUACUGGUACUGGCAGGCCACGGGCGGGGCCCCCCAGCUGCUCUUCUACUCCCUCGAUAUGGACAACAUAAAGGGCGAGGCCCCCAAGCACUUCUCGGCGUUCCGGCCCCGGGACGGCCAGUUCACCCUGAACGCCGACAAGCUCCAGCCGGGAGACUCCGGCGUCUAUCUCUGCGCCUGGGACGCACACUUGCGCAAGCCGGCCGCGCGGCCGCCCAAAAACCCACCUCGAGGCUCACACAUCCCGCAGCGAGCGGCCUCGCUCCGAACUGCAGGGGGUGUCUGUGAUCGGCUUUGACUCCGGUGGUGUGAGGGCCCCCGAAUGGAGCCAGCUGAGAGAGAUCUUGACCAGGUGCUCAGAGAGAAACUUGACCAGGUGCUCAGAGAGAAACUUGACCAGGUCCUCCGAGAGCACAGCCAGGCUUAUGCACGCACAGUCAAGUCUCCAGUGGAGACGUCUAGUCCCUGCUAGAGUCACACUCCAGCCCGCAGAGCGUCUGCGCCUUGCCUACACGCCCUCCUCCCCCAAGUCCUGCCGGUCUACACUGGGUGGUGGGGGAGCCGGGAGCCCCUGCGGCAGGUGCGGAGCGGUGGGGAUGAGGAUGCAGACUCUACCUUAUCGAGCUGGAGAGUCCCCUGCUUCGACUCUCGCUGAGGACAGCAGAAAUUCUGCGCAGCCUUGGUUCCCGGGAAAGGCUGUCCUCGUGGGGCUCCAAGUGAAGUUUUGUUAGUGUCAGAGACACACAUUCAGGCAUUUUGAUGAUUGUUUGAGGGUUCAGGAUUUGGUUUUACCUGCCCUACUGUCUCUCGCCCCUUCCCUUGUCGAGAGAGAGGGAGCAGAGAGGCAGAUGGUGACAAAGGGACGGUGGGACCAAGGAUAAAGAAGAGGGCACGUGUGUGGAACUGCAAAGGCCGAGGGAGGAGAAAGUGCUGGAUGGGAAGGAGGGGGAAGAGACUCCUGUGGAUGGCUGGGGAGGGGUCAUGGUUGCCUUGGCAACCGAGCACCAGCUCCCCGCGCUGCCUCCGCCCCCUCCUUCCUCCCUAGUCCUUGUUCUUAAAAGGGUUUUAUUUUCUAAUGUUCCUCCCUGUCCAGCAGGGGGCACAAGCGGUCUUAAAAUGCUCUCCGUUCCUUAAUCUGGGACCACUGAGACACCUGUUUAUUUCCGGUAUCAUUUACUCUGCAGAGAGAACUGAGGCAUGAAGUGAUCAAGAGGGUCUUCCUCAGGCCCAAAGGCCCUGCUGCACUUGGAGGAUCAGCUACGCGUUAAACAGCUCUCACGUGCUGGGCGCGGUUCAUUGAGGAGGAAAAUGCUGCUUACUCCAGAAGGUGCUGUGCGCCAUCCUCAGCGUGGUGGAGUCAAGCCACUUGGUUGUUACGGCCUUGGGCUAGUUAUUGGAUCUCUCUGGCCCUCAUUUUCCUUGCCUAGAAAACGUCCUCGCUGGAUUAUGUGUAUUAAAUGAGAUGAUGUUUAUGAAGUCCUACUUCAGGGUCUAUGGAGCCUUGGUGGGCUUGGCUGCUAACUGAAAGGUCUGCCCCACCAGCCACUUCACAGGGCAAAGGUGUGGCAGUCUGCUUCCUUAAAGAUGACAGCCUCGGAAGCCCGAUGAGGCAGUUCGGCUUUGUCCUGUCGUUAAGUGCCGUCGAGUCAGUUCCAAGUCAUAGCGACUUUAUGUGCAACAGAACAAAACACUGCCCUGUCCUGCGCCAUCCUCACAAUUGUUA